rnacentral:rRNA from 1 species
GUGAGGAAUUUUCCGCAAUGGGCGAAAGCCUGACGGAGCAAUGCCGCGUGAAGGAUGAAGGCCUAUGGGUUGUAAACUUCUUUUCUCAGAAAAGAAUUAUGACGGUAUCUGAGGAAUAAGCAUCGGCUAACUCUGUGCCAGCAGCCGCGGUAAGACAGAGGAUGCAAGCGUUAUCCGGAAUGAUUGGGCGUAAAGCGUGCGUAGGCGGUCUCGUAAGUUAGGAGUGAAAGCCCAGGGCUCAACCUUGGAAUUGCUCUUAAAACUGCAAGGCUAGAAUCUCGGAGAGGAUAGCGGAAUUUCCAGUGUAGCAGUGAAAUGCGUAGAUAUUGGAAGGAACACCAGUGGCGUAAGCGGCUAUCUGGACGAGUAUUGACGCUGAGGCACGAAAGCGUGGGGAUCAAACAGGAUUAGAAACCCUUGUAGUCC